CUCCAGACUCCUACGGGAGGCAGCAGUGGGGAAUAUUGCACAAUGGGGGAAACCCUGAUGCAGCGACGCCGCGUGAGCGAUGAAGUAUUUCGGUAUGUAAAGCUCUAUCAGCAGGGAAGAAGAUGACGGUACCUGACUAAGAGGCCCCGGCUAACUACGUGCCAGCAGCCGCGGUAAUACGUAGGGGGCAAGCGUUAUCCGGAUUUACUGGGUGUAAAGGGAGCGUAGACGGCGGCGCAAGCCAGAUGUGAAAGCCCGGGGCUCAACUCCGGGACUACAUUUGGAACUGUGUGGCUGGAGUGUCGGAGAGGCAGGCGGAAUUCCUAGUGUAGCGGUGAAAUGCGUAGAUAUUAGGAGGGACACCAGUGGCGAAGGCGGCCUGCUGGACGAUGACUGACGUUGAGGCUCGAAAGCGUGGGGAGCAAACAGGAUUAGAUACCCUAGUA
rnacentral:rRNA from 1 species